rnacentral:rRNA from 1 species
AGAGUUUGAUCCUGGCUCAGGACGAACGCUGGCGGCGUGCCUAACACAUGCAAGUCGAACGGAGUAAUUUCUUCGGAGGUUACUUAGUGGCGAACGGGUGAGUAACGCGUGAGAAACCUGCCUUUCAGUGGGGGACAACAGUUGGAAACGACUGCUAAUACCGCAUAAUGUUAUUUGGGGGCAUCCCCGAAUAACCAAAGAUUUAUUGCUGAAAGAUGGUCUCGCGUCUGAUUAGCUAGUUGGUGAGGUAACGGCUCACCAAGGCGACGAUCAGUAGCCGGUCUGAGAGGAUGAACGGCCACAUUGGGACUGAGAUACGGCCCAGACUCCUACGGGAGGCAGCAGUGGGGAAUAUUGGGCAAUGGGGGAAACCCUGACCCAGCAACGCCGCGUGAAGGAAGAAGGCCUUCGGGUUGUAAACUUCUUUUACCAGGGACGAAGAACGUGACGGUACCUGGAGAAAAAGCAACGGCUAACUACGUGCCAGCAGCCGCGGUAAUACGUAGGUUGCAAGCGUUGUCCGGAUUUACUGGGUGUAAAGGGUGUGUAGGCGGAGCUGCAAGUCAGAUGUGAAAUCCCGGGGCUCAACCCCGGAACUGCAUUUGAAACUGUAGCCCUUGAGUAUCGGAGAGGCAAGCGGAAUUCCUAGUGUAGCGGUGAAAUGCGUAGAUAUUAGGAGGAACACCAGUGGCGAAGGCGGCUUGCUGGACGACAACUGACGCUGAGGCGCGAAAGCGUGGGGAGCAAACAGGAUUAGAUACCCUGGUAGUCCACGCUGUAAACGAUGAAUACUAGAUGUGGGAGGACUGACCCCUUUCGUGUCCCAGUUAACACAAUAAGUAUUUCACCUGGGGGAGUACGACCGCCAGGGUUGAAACUCAAAGGAAUUGACGGGGGGCCCCCCCAGCCAGGGAAGUAUGUGGUUUAUUUCCAAGCCCCGCCAAAAAACCUAACAAGGAUUUGCCCUCCCUCGGACCGCUCAAAAAAAAAGGCUUUUCCCUCCGGAAAGGGGGGGAAGGGGGGGGGCAGGUUUGUCCUC